AGAGUUUGAUCCUGGCUCAGGAUAAACGCUAGCGGCAGGCCUAAUACAUGCAAGUCGAACGGCAAGGGUUCAGCAAUGAAUCCCUAGAGUGGCGGACGGGUGAGUAACACGUAUGUAACCAACCUUUGUCAGGGGUAUAGCGUCUGGAAACGGACGGUAAUGCCGCAUAAAAUAACACAAUGGCAUCAUUGAGUUAUCAA
rnacentral:rRNA from 1 species